GCUGAAACUAGGCUCUAUGGUUCCUGUCUACAGUAGAGGUGCUGUUGUUGUCUCUGACACUGUGAUGAUUGGACUGGACAGACUGCUGAAACUAGGCUCUAUGGUUCCUGUCUACAGUAGAGGUGCUGUUGUUGUCUCUGACACUGUGAUGAUUGGACUGGACAGACUGCUGAAACUAGGCUCUAUGGUUCCUGUCUACAGUAGAGGUGCUGUUGUUGUCUCUGACACUGUGAUGAUUGGACUGGACAGACUGCUGAAACUAGGCUCUAUGGUUCCUGUCUACAGUAGAGGUGCUGUUGUUGUCUCUGACACUGUGAUGAUGGGACUGGACAGACUGCUGAAACUAGGCUCUAUGGUUCCUGUCUACAGUAGAGGUGCUGUUGUUGUCUCUGACACUGUGAUGAUUGGACUGGACAGACUGCUGAAGCUAGGCUCUAUGGUUCCUGUCUACAGUAGAGGUGCUGUUGUUGUCUCUGACACUGUGAUGAUGGGACUGGACAGACUGCUGAAGCUAGGCUCUAUGGUUCCUGUCUACAGUAGAGGUGCUGUUGUUGUCUCUGACACUGUGAUGAUUGGACUGGACAGACUGCUGAAGCUAGGCUCUAUGGUUCCUGUCUACAGUAGAGGUGCUGUUGUUGUCUCUGACACUGUGAUGAUUGGACUGGACAGACUGCUGAAACUAGGCUCUAUGGUUCCUGUCUACAGUAGAGGUGCUGUUGUUGUCUCUGACACUGUGAUGAUUGCACCCUACCUGCUACUAUUCAACUCUACUUGUCCUGGGCUGCUUCAGUUCAAGGGGGGUAAUCCUACAGAGCAGGAUCAAGGGGUUAGCCGGCUAACUAGGAGUUAACUUGCCUAAAUAUUCUGAAGUAUUACAGUGCAUUUUGGGAAGUAUUCAGACACCUUGACUUUCUUCAAAAUGUGGUUACAUUACAGCCUUAUUCUAAAAUUGAUUACAUUUUAGAAAUACUACUCUAACCAUGAUAACCAAGGUUGAACUCUUUGGCCUGAAUGCCAAGUGUCACGUCUGGAGGAAACCUGACACCAUCCCUACGGUGAAGCAUGGUGGUGGCAGCAUCAUGUUGUGGGGAUGUUUUCCAGUGGCAGGGAGACUAGUCAGGAUGGAGGCAAAGAUUAACAAAGUACAGACUGAUCCUUGAUGAACCUGCUCCAGAGCACACAGGACCUCAGACUGGGGGGGGGGGCGAAGGUUCACCUUCCAACAUGACAACGAUCCUAAGCACACAGCCAAGACAACGCAGGAGUGGCUUCGGGACAAGUCUCUGUCCUUGAGUGGCCCAGCCAGAGCCCGGACUUGAACCUGAUCGGACAUCUUUGGAAAGACCUGAAAAUAUCUGUGCAGCGACGCUCCCCAUCCGACCUGACAGAGCUGGAGAGGACCUUCCCAAGUACAGGUGUGACCAGCUUGUAGAGUCAUACUCAAGAACACUUGAGGCUGUAAUCGCUUCAACAAAGUACUGAGUUUGAAUACUUUUAAUUUGUAAAAAUGUCUUAACCCGUUUUUGCUUUGUCAUUACGGGGUUUUGUGUGUGAAGAUUGAUUAAAAAAAUAUUAAAUUUUAAAAUGAAUCUUUAACAAAAUGUGUGGAAAGUAAAGGUGUGUUAAACAUGUUCAUCAGCAUUUCCUCAACUGCAGAGGGUGUGUAUAUAUAUAUAUGUGUGUUUUGUAAUGUUCAUCAGCAUUUCCUCAACUGCAGAGGGUACAUGUAUAUAUAUAUAUAUGUAUGUUUUGUAAGGUUCAUCAGCAUUUCCUCAACUGCAGAGGGUAUAUAUAUAUAUAGUAAUGUUCAUCAGCAUUUCCUCAACUGCAGAGGGUGUGUAUAUAUAUAUAUAUAUAGUAAUGUUCAUCAGCAUUUCCUCAACUGCAGAGGGUAUAUAUAUAUAUAGUAAUGUUCAUCAGCAUUUCCUCAACUGCAGAGGGUACAUGUAUAUAUAUAGUAAUGUUCAUCAGCAUUUCCUCAACUGCAGAGGGUGUAUAUAUAUAUAUAUAUAUUAAUGUUCAUCAGCAUUUCCUCAACUGCAGAGGGUAUAUAUAUAUAUAUAUAUAGUAAUGUUCAUCAGCAUUUCCUCAACUGCAGAGGGUGUAUAUAUUUUAGUAAUGUUCAUCAGCAUUUCCUCAACUGCAGAGGGUGUAUAUAUAUAUAUAUUGUAAUGUUCAUCAGCAUUUCCUCAACUGCAGAGGGUGUAUAUAUAGUAAUGUUCAUCAGCAUUUCCUCAACUGCAGAGGGUAUAUAUAUAUUUAGUAAUGUUCAUCAGCAUUUCCUCAACUGCAGAGGGUGUGUAUAUAUAUAUAUAUAUAUAUAUAGUAAUGUUCAUCAGCAUUUCCUCAACUGCAGAGGGUAUAUAUAUAUAUAUAGUAAUGUUCAUCAGCAUUUCCUCAACUGCAGAGGGUAUAUAUAUAUAUAUAUAUAGUAAUGUUCAUCAGCAUUUCCUCAACUGCAGAGGGUAUAUAUAUAUAUAUAUAGUAAUGUUCAUCAGCAUUUCCUCAACUGCAGAGGGUAUAUAUAUAUAUAUAGAAUGUUCAUCAGCAUUUCCUCAACUGCAGAGGGUAUAUAUAUAUAUAGUAAUGUUCAUCAGCAUUUCCUCAACUGCAGAGGGUAUAUAUAUAUAUAUAUAUAUAUAGUAAUGUUCAUCAGCAUUUCCUCAACUGCAGAGGGUAUAUAUUAUAUAUAGUAAUGUUCAUCAGCAUUUCCUCAACUGCAGAGGGUAUAUAUAUAUAUAUAGUAAUGUUCAUCAGCAUUUCCUCAACUGC